rnacentral:rRNA from 1 species
AUUGAACGCUAGCGGGAUGCCUUACACAUGCAAGUCGAACGGCAGCACGGACUUCGGUCUGGUGGCGAGUGGCGAACGGGUGAGUAAUGUAUCGGAACGUGCCCAGUAGCGGGGGAUAACUACGCGAAAGCGUAGCUAAUACCGCAUACGCCCUACGGGGGAAAGCAGGGGAUCGCAAGACCUUGCACUAUUGGAGCGGCCGAUAUCGGAUUAGCUAGUUGGUGGGGUAACGGCUCACCAAGGCGACGAUCCGUAGCUGGUUUGAGAGGACGACCAGCCACACUGGGACUGAGACACGGCCCAGACUCCUACGGGAGGCAGCAGUGGGGAAUUUUGGACAAUGGGGGAAACCCUGAUCCAGCCAUCCCGCGUGUGCGAUGAAGGCCUUUCGGGUUGUAAAGCACUUUUGGCAGGAAAGAAACGUCAUGGGUUAAUACCCCGUGAAACUGACGGUACCUGCAGAAUAAGCACCGCUAAUA